rnacentral:rRNA from 1 species
UACGUAGGGUCCGAGCGUUGUCCGGAAUUACUGGGCGUAAAGAGCUCGUAGGUGGCUUGUCGCGUUGUUCGUGAAAACUCACAGCUCAACUGUGGGCGUGCGGGCGAUACGGGCAGACUGGAGUACUGCAGGGGAGACUGGAAUUCCUGGUGUAGCGGUGGAAUGCGCAGAUAUCAGGAGGAACACCAACAGCGAAGGCAGCACUCUGGGCCGGUACUGACGCU